GUAGCGAGAGAGGGGUGAGAAACCCCUCCGCCGGAAGUCCAAGGGUUCCUGGGGAAGGCUAAUCCUCCCAGGGUGAGUCGGGAGCUAAGGCGAGGCCGAGAGGCGUAGUCGAUGCACAACCGGUUGAUAUUCCGGUACCACGGGUUGCGCGACAAACGCCGACCCGCAGUUGCUCAGGGGAUGGUCGACCCUUCGGGGUUGACAGGAACUUGAACCAAGUGCGGUUAGGUGAGUGAUGCGGGGACGCAGGUAGGUAGGUGAUCCCAGGCGAUGGUUGUCCUGGGGCAAGCGUGUAGGUCGGGGCGUAGGUAAGUCCGCUCCCCAUAGAGACUGAGACGUGACGCCGAGCCGUUCAAGGCGAAGACACUGAUCCUUUGCUGCCAAGAAAAGCCGCUAGCGAGUGCAACCGGUGCCCGUACCCCAAACCAACUCAGGUGGACAGGUAGAGAAUACCAAGGCGAUUGGGAGAACUAUGGUUAAGGAACUCGGCAAAUUGCAUCCGUAACUUCGGGAGAAGGAUGACCUUAUUAGGGUGAUAAGACCUUGCGUCUUUGAGCCUGACGAGGUGACACAAACCAGAGGAAAGCGACUGUUUACUAAAAACACAGCAGCGUGCUAAGUCCUAAGACGACGUAUACGCUGUGACGCCUGCCCGGUGCUGGAAGGUUACGGGGAAGGGUUAGCCUUCGGGCGAAGCUCUGAACCUAAGCCCCAGUAAACGGCGGCCGUAACUAUAACGGUCCUAAGGUAGCGAAAUUCCUUGUCGGGUAAGUUCCGACCUGCACGAAUGGCGUAACGACUUUCCUACUGUCUCAACCAUAGACCCAGCGAAAUUGAAGUACGAGUAAAGAUGCUCGUUAGCUGCAGAAGGACGGAAAGACCCCGUGGACCUUUACUACAGCUUGGUAUUGGUAUUUGUUAUGCGUUGUGUAGGAUAGGUGGGAGACUUUGAAGCGUUGGCGCUAGCCGAUGUGGAGUCAACCUUGAAAUACCACCCUGCGUUUGACGGAUAUCUAACCUGGGCCCGUUAUCCGGGCUGGGAACAGUGCCAGGUGGGUAGUUUGACUGGGGCGGUCGCCUCCUAAAUUGUAACGGAGGCGCCCAAAGGUUCUCUCAGUCUGGUUGGCAAUCAGACGUCGAGUGCAAUGGCACAAGAGAGCUUGACUGCGAGACUUACAAGUCGAGCAGGUGCGAAAGCAGGGCAUAGUGAUCCGGCGGUUGCGUGUGGAAGCGCCGUCGCUCAACGGAUAAAAGGUACCCCGGGGAUAACAGGCUUAUCUUCCCCAAGAGUCCAUAUCGACGGGAAGGUUUGGCACCUCGAUGUCGGCUCAUCGCAUCCUGGGGCUGAAGCAGGUCCCAAGGGUUGGGCUGUUCGCCCAUUAAAGCGGUACGCGAGCUGGGUUUAGAACGUCGUGAGACAGUUCGGUCCCUAUCCUCUGCAGCCGGAGGAGAUUUGAGAAAGGCUGUCCCUAGUACGAGAGGACCGGGACGGACGUAGCUCUAGUGUGCCAGUUGUUCCGCCAGGAGCAUGGCUGGUUGGCCACCUACGGAAGGGAUAACCGCUGAAAGCAUCUAAGUGGGAAGCCCGUUUCAAGAUGAGAUCUCCCACCGGGAAACCGGGUAAGGCCCGUGGCAGACCACCACGUUGAUAGGCCGGAGGUGUAAGCACGGCAACGUGUUCAGCCGACCGGUACUAAUCGGCCGAGGGCUUGGUUAC
rnacentral:rRNA from 1 species